rnacentral:lncRNA from 1 species
ACUGGCGGUGGUGGAGGGGAUGAGUAGACUGGUGGUGGCGGUGGAGGAGGUGGCGGAGGAGGAGAAUAGACUGGUGGUGGCGGCGGAGGUGGAGGUGGAGGAGGGGGAGAGUAGACUGGUGGCGGCGGAGGUGGAGGUGGAGGAGGGGGAGAGUAGACUGGUGGUGGUGGAGGCGGAGGUGGAGGUGGAGGUGGAGAAUAAACUGGUGGUGGUGGAGGAGGCGGCGGCGGUGGUGGUGGAGGUGGAGAGUAGACUGGUGGAGGAGGCGGCGGCGGAGGAGGAGAGUAGACUGGUGGUGGAGGAGGCGGCGGUGGUGGUGGUGGGGGAGGAGAGUAGACAGGGGGCGGCGGUGGAGGAGAGUAUACAGGAGGUGACGGCGGAGGAUAGUAGACAGGAGGUGACGGCGGAGGAGAGUAGACAGUUGGAGGUAAUGGCGGCGAUGGCGGAGGCGGCGGCGGUAACGCUACAAUAGGAGGAGACUGUUUAACAGAACGACCACAACCAAAAGAUCCACAAUCCACCGGCGGGCGUGACAAGAAAGCUGAACAUUGCCGUGAAGAUCUCUGAGCAGGUC